AGUAACCCUAUGGAGUCUCUUUCUGUCGUGUGGAAGGUUUGUUCUUUCGCUUUUUGCAAUAACUCUUGCUGCUGUUUACUCUGGGCCCACACUGCCUUUAUAAGCUGUAACACUCGCUGCGAAGGUCUGCCGCUUCACUCCUGAAGCCAGUGAGACCACGAACCCACCGGGAUGAAUGAACAACUCAGAUGGGCCACCAUAAGAGCUGUAACACUCACCAUGAGGGUCUACAGCUUCACUCCUGGUCCAGCUAGACCACGAAUCCACCAGAAGGAAGAAACUCCAAACACAUCCGAACAUCAGAAGGAACAAAUUCCGGACAUGCUGCCUUUAAGAACUGUGACACUCACCACGAGGAUCCACGGCUUCAUUCUUUAAGUUAGACCAAGAACCCACCAAUUCCGGACACAUGUUGAGGAACCAAUGUCUCCAGCCAACAGCCAGUAAGGACCUGAGGCCUGACAACAAUCAGGUGAGUGAACUUGGUAAUAGAUUCUCCCCAGGUGAGCCUGGAGUUGACCACAGCCCGGCUGACAUCUUGAUUGUAGCUGCCUGAGAAACCCAGAGAUGGAGGCACCCAGCUAAGCCACGCUUAGAUUCCUGACUCACAGAAACUGUAAGACAGUAAGUGCUUGUUAAAUGGAGGAGGAGAAAGCAUUUGCGUAAGCAAUAGCUACAUACAAGGGUCUCUGUUGAUUUGUUCCUUGAAAGAGACCAUGCUUGGAAAGGCACCUGCAGUUGGGUACACUACUUAAUUGAGUUAAUAAUUGUCAGUCAUUCUUCCAGGUCCAUCUGUUUUCAUUACCAGUCAAGCUGGAAGGCAGGUAUAAAUUAAGAUAAUUGAUUCAGAUAUUUUAGGGUGACACUAUAGCUAGUCAACAAGGGAUUGUUAUAACUUGUGCAUUACUAUUUUGAUUGGGGGUUGGAGAGUGUAAUAAAGCUCUGUGGAUUCUUCAUAGUCUUUUCUAUCUUGCUCACCCUUGUUCUAAAGGUUAGGAAACCAAUGUGAAGAUUCUGCCUUAUGUCCUUUAAAUGUACACUCAGGAAUUGGGGAAAAAACACUGGAAGGGUUUAGGGUUCCAUCGAACUUACUGUAAGGUGGACUUGGGUUAAAAUUCCUUUAAUUACUUCACCCCUGUAAACCCCACUCUAACCAGUGAACUACUGUGGC
rnacentral:lncRNA from 1 species